GAAAUACCCGCUCGUUAAGUGUAACAGGAGAAAAUGUCAAUAAAUGGGUGUGUGUUAUUUUUUUUAAGCCAAUAGCUGUUGUGAUAAAAAAUACAGUUAUAUAGACUUAUUCAUAAAGAUUUCAUUCUUUCCAUUUGAAAUCAAAAGAAAGCUGAGUUAAGAGCUAUACUUGUUUUUCCUAUGAUAAAGCAUCGUGAAACUAGGAUAAUUAAACAUCCAAAUGAGUAUUAUUACUAAUCUCAAAAAAAUAAUAGAAGCACAGUCUUGAGCCAUGAUAUUAAAAUAGAAUUUAGUUAAAGUGUUUGAACAGCUUGGGGAAUUUAUGAAAGGUAAAAUCAGCUUUAAAUGAAAUGAAGAGAAUGGAUCUAAUAGGGGAGCUCAGGAAAUACCUGCUUGUUAAAUGUAACAUUAGAAAACUGUCAAUAAAUGGGUGUGUGUUAUUUUUUUAAAGCUAAUAGCUGUUGUGAUUAAAAAUAUUAGGGUUGUUGCUUGAUCUUUCUAUUGAUAUCUAUGUUUAUUACAAAGUUUUAACCCUCAACACUUUCAGUAAAUAUAAACAAAAAUAGUUGGUAUGUUGUAAAAUAUCUUUUUUAUUUAGAUCAACUAAAUUAAUUUGUCAUGUCGUACUCUUUUUUUUUUGAUUUGUAUUGUUUCAUCUUGUUCUGUUUUUAUGAAGUAUUAAAUAAGAGUUAUUUUAACUUUUUCAUUCUAUUUUUGAUCGCAUGCCAUUCUUGUCCAUUCUAUUUUUUUAUUUCUGUUU